GUUUUUUUUUCUAUCUCCACAAUGGUUCAAUUUGCUCUCUUAACAACACCAUUUUAUUGUAGAGUGUAUAGAGUUGUUAUUUAUCUAGUAAUUCUUUCAUCUUUCAAAUAAACAUCAAAUUGCUUAGAUAUGUACUCACCUCCAUUAUACAUAUGUAGUAUCUUCAUCUUGUACUCACUUUGUUUCUUAAUAAGUACUUUAAAUUCCUUAAACUUCCAAAAGCACUCAUUCUUAGCUUUAAAAAUAUAGAUCAAAAUCUUUCUUGAAAAAUCAUCAAUGAAAGUAAGGAAAUACCUUAUUCUUCUAAUAUUUGUAGUCUUUAUAGGUCCACAUAGAUUAGAAUGGACAAUCUCCAAUAACUUUGUAGCAGUAUUGCUACACUACUUGAAAAUGAGGCUCUAUAUUGUUUACCUUGUAUGUAUCUUUCACAUGUAAGUUGUAUUAUAUUUUGGAUUUUUUUUUCUAAGAUCUACGCUACUUACCAUAGACUUAAGCUUUGCCAUAUUCUUCAUAUUCAAAUGGUGAAGGCGACAAUGCCAUAUAUUCAACUUAUCUUAGUUUGAUAUAAAUUCAAUAAAUAUAGCUACUUCUACUCUGUUAACCUUCUUAUACUUAAGAUAGUACAAAUUCCUCUCUUUAGAGCCCUUGGCAACUAUGUUUCUAUAUAUUUUUUUCACAAAAUAUCCGUUUAUAUUGAAUUAAAUUAUAAAAUCUUCUAUUACAAGUUUAUUUAUCAAAAAUAGAUUUUUCUUCAUCUUAGGCAUAUGAAAGAUGUUUUUAAAUUUGAUCCUAUUGAUUUUCCAUUCACAACCACUUCUAUCAUAAUAGAAUAAAUUUUAGUAGCUUCACAUGUGCGAUUAUCUACCAAAAUCAGAUUUGAUACUGAAAUAGCAAUUUUGAACAAAAUAUCUUAUUUUGCUACAAAUGAAGCAAGUUUUGACAUUACCUCAUUGGUUUGAAUAGUUGUCUUUGCCUUAUUAUGAAUAGAAUUCUAAAUCUUUACUUUGAGGCUCUUUUUCUUUCUUUUUGGUCACUUUAUGGCUAAGUCUUGCUGUUAUGUAGUCCAUUAUGAGUUCUUUCAUCUUAAUGGAUUUCAAACCCAUAAUGAGGUAGUUAUAGGAUUCCAAUAUUGUACUAUAAUUAUUUAUAGUAUAUAAAAAUUGACUAAAAUAUAUAAUAUAUUUAUAAAUAUUGAUAUAUAUUAAAAUAAUUGAUAAAUUAAUUUUAAAAAAAUUGAUGUAAGAAAAUUUAUUUUGAAGUUUAUUUAUAUUGAUUGUAAUAUUUAAAUUAUUUAGGAUUUAGAUAUUUAGUGUAAAUUUUAAGAAAAAGAUUGGAACUCAAAAAUAAAGAUCUAAACCUCUAAGAAAUUUAUUUAGAGGGAUGAAACCAAGACAUUAAUAGAUGAAGGCAAAAGGUAAAGAACUUCAUUCCUAUUGGUCAAAAGCCAUGCCUAAUAGUCUCUUAGGAGGCUGUUUGUAACAAUAAUAAGAAUAUUGGCAACUUCAAAAAGAAAAUUAAAGAAUCAAAAGCAAAAGUUGUAAAGUUUAGAGUUUGGACUAUAAUUUGUACACAAAUUUUAGAAGAUUUGAAGUUAGUGUGAUAAAAGUAUAGCCAUUUCAAGUUAAGGUGUCUUUUUAAGAUAUAUUAUUGCUCUUUUGAGGAUAUAAGAAAUUCUACAAUAGUUUUGGAAAUCAACAAGUACAAUUGCAAGGAUGAUUUUAAGACCUAUUUUUUUUGUAAAAGAAUUUUUGCAUUUGAAAUUUAUAUGAAGAAAUUAUAGAGCAUUGAAGAUAGCACAUGUAACUUAAAGGCAAUAAGUGAGUUAUUUUAUUGAUAAUAACAGUUGAAGCCAUAUCUUGAGUUUUUGGAUAAAUUUUUGGCUUAAAGUUUCUUUAAAUAUAUAUUAUUAGGUUAAAAAGCUAUAUAUCAAAAUUUUAUGGUAUUUUAUUACUUAUUUUAUGAAAUAUAAAGAAAAUUACACAUUGAUGUAUGUAAGCGAGGGUUUCAAGCUACUAUUAGGAUUUUGGCAAUAUCUCAAGAUUUGUAAUAAAUUUAUAGUUAAAAUUUGUUAUGAUAGUUUUUAAAUAUAUUAAUACUUCUUGCAAAACUUUGAUUUGUUUGGAUAGUCUAAUUAUGACAUAUGAGCUAUUGAAGUUUAGAAAAAAAUCAACUUAAAGAUAUAUAAGGUUUUAUAAUAUAUUUAUGAUAUUUUGGAUGAUCUUUGGUACAUAGAGCUUAUUAUUGAUGUAAUUACUUUUAUAGAGACAAUUUUAUGUAUAAACUUGGUAUUUUUUUAUCUUAUGACUUGAUUAAAGAAUUAGUGAUAGACAAAAGCCUUGAGCUUUUUUAAGGCAAAUUCUCUCUACUACAAUAUUUAAAAGUUCAUGAAUAAAGUCAUAAUAACAUCUACAUCUUCAAAGGGCUUAUUUAUAAUUGUAAUUUGGUUUACAAGUACCUUUACUUUUUUGAUAUGUACCAUGAGAUCUUCACCUUCUUCCAACUUAUAAAUAAAGAACUUCCUUCUUGUAUAGAUGAUAUUAGAUAAGUUCUUACUCUCAUAGAUGUUGCAAAGAUUCUUCCAUGCUCUACUAGACCUUUACAAGAAAUAAUGUAAGAGAAAUUGGCUUCAUUAAUAUUGGAUGCAAUCAAUCCAAAAGCCUUUUUUCACAAUGUUUAUAAUCUUUCUUUUCUUUUAUAUCAGCAUACAUACUUGGAGGCUCUUCACUUUCAUCUAUAAUAUUCUAAAGAUCUAAAGAAGCCAAAAAAAAAACUUCAUUUGAACCUUCUAAUGGUAAAAAUUUUCACCUCUAAACUUUUCAAUUAUUCUCAAGCCUUCAUCUUUACUUAAAGCUAUGUUUAAAAGAGAGGUAUAUCAAAAAAGGUAAAUAAAUUGUCUUAAGGCUCUUAAAAUCUCAAAAUACCUUCUUUGUGAAUAAAUUAUUAUUUUUACUUUCAAAACACUUUCAACUUUAGUUCUAUGACUUUCUAAAAGUCCAAUAAACUUUAUAAACUUUUCAAAUCAGAUUUGUCCACUCUUAUAUCACUUUUAUGAUCACAAAUCAUCUCUGAGUACUAUAAAAGGUCCUUUGAAUAUCUUAAGCUUCUUCAAUGCAUGAAACUACAAAGUUAGUCCACCAAAGAUCUAACUCAACAAGAAAAUAUAAUGCAAGUAUUCUAUAACAUCACCUUCAGGUGUAAAAUAUAUCCCAAAUUCAAAAUGUAUUUAAUAAUAAGUAAGAGCAAAUCAAGAUCUAGAUUUAGAUAUGAAUCUGAAAGUUAAGAGAUUCUAAAUUCUAAUACUAGCAAUAAUAACAUAAUCUAUUUCACACAACAAUAAAGACUUUAUAUAACUUCAAAAUUCACAAGAAAAUGUGAGUGGGUUCAUAACCUAUUGAAGAAAGAGAAAUAAGAAGCCACAACACUUAGCAUUAACAAGGUUGCAUACAAAGAGAAGUGUAGAGUAAGAUUAAUUCUUAUUUCUAAUAUUCUUUACUUAUAAUUGAUAUUUUCAUCUAUUAUAGAUGAAUUUCAUUUACAAUCAUUUUCAUCUUUUUUUUACUACAUCCAACUAAAUCCUAGAUUCUUUUUAACUUAGGUACCACCUAAAAUCUUAACUGCAACAAUAGUAAUUUAUUUUAAUCUUUUGCCAUCUUUUGACUAUUAACAACUUAUUAUGGUUCAAAUCUAUGUGGUGGCAACUAUGCAAGAUCUUGUUGAUCUUUAAUAGUGACAAAUACUUCUAAGAAUGAAUUCAAAACAUAAAGUAGUUAUAAAUAUUUUUUUUUAUCAAAGAUACAAAGUAAAAAAAGAGUACUUCUUCAUAGAAGUGCAUUCACAAAUCCAACUUGUAUAAAUCCAUUGAGAUAUUAGAAAUGGUGCAACGUUAAAUAAAACUUUACUUAUUACAAAAUCUUCAAAAUUUUGAUCUUAUUCCAUUAAACUUUUCAAACAUAAUAAUCCUUAUCUCUUUUGAACUUGUAAAAGCAAGACUUUGUGAAAUUGGUUAUGAAGUUGAUCUACUUGCAUCUUUUAACUACACAACUUCUUGGCAUAGAUUCUAAAAUUCUUUUAUAUGUGUAGGAAUAGUAUCUUUAUGAUUCAUAUUAGAAAUAUAUAAAAUUUCUACUUUUAGAGUAUUAUCAAGCUUGUAAAGAUCUACAAUAGUUAUAAAUCUAUUUUUAUUUUUGCCAAGUAUAGUAUCUAUGAUUUUUCCUUCUAUUUUAAAAAAAAUUAUGAAUUCCCAAGUUAAAUUAGAGGAGAGUAAUAUGUAGCUUCUAAUAUCAAAUAAAAAUUUCUACAAAAAGAGAUGAUUUGCUUUCUAUAAGAAAAAAAUCAAUGUUAAUUUUUUUUUUUUUUUUUUUUUUUUGUUUAAAAGUAGGUAGUCUAUAACCUUCAAAAUAAAAUAAUAGAAGUAGAGUAAUUCACUCACUUUUAAAACAAGAUAAGAAUAAUAAGUUAAUUCUCUUAUCAAACUAUUAAAGACAUGAAUCUUAAAGAAAAAAAUAUUCAAUACACUCUUAUAUUAUUCAAAAAGAAUAAAAAAUCAUUCAAAGAUGGUAAUUAAAAUGAGACCAAAUUAUCUUAAAAAUAUGAGAUCUUUUUAAUCCAUAGCAACAUGAAUCCUAUUACAAUGUAAGACAAAGUAGACCACAAUAAUAAAAAAAAAAUAGGAUAAAAUAUAUUCUAUUUUCUUUACUACGAGGAAGGAUCAAAAGCUAUAUAUGACCAAAUGUCCAAAUGGCCCUAGCAAGUCCUAUUUAUACUUUGUUCAAUCAUCGUCGAACUUUCAAAAAUAUUCUUAAUGAUAGAUCUCACUUAGAUAACCGUCCUAAGCUCUUUUUAGAAUAUUUUAUGAUAGGUCCUACUCAAAUAACCACCCUAAGUUCUUUUUAGAAUAUUUUAUGAUAGGUCCUACUUAAAUAACCACCCUAAGUUCUUUCUAAAAUGUUCCAUAAUAGAACUUAUAUAGUCUACUAAUCUAGUUUGAAUUUUAGAAACUUUUAUAAAUUUUUCAAACAUGGCUUUAACAAUCUAUUCUUAUGUAUCAACAAUACAAAUAUCUUAUCUAUACCAUGUUCCAAUUAAUUUCAUUCUACUAAUAGAGAACGUCUUCAUUUUUCUUUUGAUGGUAUCUCCAAAUUAUUUCUUGGUAAUAGAUGACAUUCUUUGUAGGUUUUCAUAUUACAUUGUGGAUAGAAUAAACUUUCUAAAAGACUUUAUAUUGAAGUUAUGGAUGUCUACUACCAUAGAAAAGGUAGUAAUACUCCAAAAUAUUAUCCACUUUAUACUGUUCUUAAUCAUCAACUACAACUGGUCAUGGUGCUAGUUGUUAUUGGUCCAAAAAAUGCCUUAGCUCAGUAUAAAAUUUCUUGAGUUACAAAACAUCGAAGACUAGAUAGAUCCAAAUAUGUGACAAAAGCUAAAGGCGGUAUCGUAAUACGUGAAGUCUUGCUUGAGAAUGCUCCGAGCACCUGGUUGUAGAAGGAAGAAUGGAAAUUGCAAUAACAAAAUCCUAAUUCUAAUAGAAUACUAAAAAUGCCCUAAUUAGACUAUAAUAAUAUUAAGAAAGCUUAAUCAAAUUCAAAAAAAUCUCAAAGAAAUUUCAAACAAAUAAUAAGAAUUCUUAAAGAAACAUUAAAAAGAACACAAAUAUCACUCAAAUACAUCUCAAUUCAAUCUUAAUUUAAUUCUAGUUAAAAUCCUAUUGAACUUCAUUCAAACUUUAGGCCAAAACUAAUUGAAUCUUAAAUCCUAAACCAAAUCUUAAAUCCUAAAUCAAAUCCUAAAUAAACCUUAAACCAAAUCCCAACCAAAUCCUAAACCAAAUCCUAACCAAAUCCUAAAUCAAACCUUAACCAAAUUCUAAUCCAAAUCCUAAACCCUAAACCAAAUCCUAAUCUAAAUCCUAACUAAACCUUAAAUCCUAAAUCAAAUCCUAACCAAAUCCUAAAUCCUAAAUAAAAUCCUAACCAAAUCCUAAAUCCUAAAUAAAAUCCUAACCAAAUCCUAAACCAAAUCCUAAUCCAAAUCUUGAACCCUAAACCAAACCCUAACUAAAUCCUAAACCCUAAAUCAAACUUUAAUCUAAACCCUAAAUCCCAAACCAAAUCCUAAUAAUUCCUACAACAGAUUUAAACCUCAAUAACUAAUGAAUAAACUAUUAAUCUUAACUCAAAUUUUUUUCACUUCUAAAAAAAUAAGUUAAAAACAAGUACAAAAAAAUUGAUAAGGAUUGGAUUUACCAAAUUGAAGAUAACCUCAAAAAUGUGCUCGGGUAUUGGCCAGCCUCCUUCUCCAAUCUUGAUGCCAAUCUUCAAGAGCCAAUAUCUCUCCUUUUCACUAUUCGAUUGAUCUCAAAAUUCGCAUACACAUAGAAAAACAAGUCUAAUAUCCUCUCACAUAAUUUUCACUCCAAUCCAACCAAUAGAUUGCAAGAAAUCUCAAAAACCCCCACUGGACCUAAAAUUCUACUUUCUGAGACCUUGACCCACUUAAACCUCAAUAUUCCUCAAUUCAACUUUUAGAUCAAGCUCAAAUUCACGACACAUAUUAAACACAACUAUAACCAUAAACCCACAAAAUUUCACCUAUAGAUCUAUUACAAAACUCUUGAAAUCACCCAAAACGUAAAUCCUAUUUUAUUUCAUAAAACCCAAGUCAUCCAAAACAAACCUUGACUUUGAAAAGCUCUUACAAAGUAAUAUCAAAUCCAAAUCACCCAAAAUCAAUGCUUAUAGAAAGCUUGUUCAGUCUGCUAUCAAACCUCAUUCUUCGAUCUCCAAAAGAACCCCGGAGUCGUCGUCGAGACUUGGUUUUGUGCCUUAGGGUCUGAUUUCGACCCUGGUUCAUAACUCGUCCUCUCCGGGUAUCAAUAUCUAGUUUUUCUAAGUAAAUUUUUUUUAGAAUUUAUUCUUAACUUCCUCCUAAAGAUUUAUAUAUCAUUUAUUUUUCCAAUAUACCUUAUUUUUCCUUACUUAUGGUACUACAAAGUAAGUAGAAGUUACCUCUAUAAAAGACAACAUUGGUACCUUUUAACUUUUCUACCCCUUUGACUAUUAAUUAUAUUUCUUAGAUAAUUUGUUCUAAUGCUUUGAACUAAGAUCUCUUAAAUCACAAUAAUCUCCACACUCUUUCACCUAUUAGUCAUGUUACAUGAAGACAGUAGUAUGCAAUAUCAAAAAUCACUGUAAAAAUAUAGAAAAGUCUAAGCUACCAAGGUGCCAAUUUAUAGAUUUGAGUUUAUGUAGCAAGUAGUAAGUUGGUGUUGGAAAGUAAUAUGUGAUUACCCUCCUAAAAGAUCUUAUCUUAAUAAUUAAUAGAUUAAAGAUUGGUGAGUAAUUUUACCUUCUAGAUUAUAAAGACUCUUUUAUUGCCUUAAAAAGAACAUAAAUUGAUAAUAUCAAGUCAAAAGAGAUAAAUAAUUAGCAUGGUUGAUACAAGGAUUAAAUUGAGGAUAGGUGUCAAGGACAAAGACUCGAUGAGGGAAAAUAUACACCAAAAGGCUAUCUCGAUAUAAUAAGUCAAAAUAUAAACAAGUAGGUAUAUUAAAAGGAAACUGGAAUGGCUAUUGCCACAAGACAAGAAACUAAAGACUCUUGAACCUGGACUAGAAGCAAGAAGGAAGUUGACAAGAGUGAAGAAGCCUUCACUCUUGUCUCUAUAUAUACUAUCUAACUAGGGGCUACGUGGCGACGUUCUAUAGGACCUCCAAUAUGUGUUGACUUUGUAGGACACAUGCCUUGACUUACAAGGCAAGUUUUUCUACGUGUGGGCCACAUAGUUAGCUUGAUCUUCAAGCUAACAACAUGUGUGGCACAUGGCCAACUUGUUGACCACGUUUCUAAUCCAAAAAGUCAAUUAAAGACACCUAUGAAGUCAAAGCAGCGUCUAGGAAGUUUCUAGGAAGCUUCUAUAUUAAAUAUUAUAGAAUUAACUUACUUUUAUCUACUUUUACUUACUUCUACCUAUUUCUAUAUGUAAUUAUUAGCUUACAUGAUUAUGGCCGUGACAUUACCCCCCCUUCUAGAGACGAGUUCCACGAGGAGCGGUCAUCAUAUGUUGAGGAAAUCUAUGAUGCGACGAAUUGUAUUCGCCACAUACUCUGAUCUCUGUUCUCUUCGAAGAUGAUUGAUAGGGCCUCUCAACCAUCGGUAGUGUCCCAUACCAGGGCGGGAAGACCACCCAGUUAUUUGAUCAUUGUUGAGGCCUUCGUAACUUCCUUCGAAUAGAAUAUUCAGAACAUCAUGAGGAGUUGUUCCUACCUCUAGCAAAAUCACCAAACAUCGGGAGUCCCUUCCCAAAUCGUGAUACCAAACGCGUUGUAUCUCACCAUCUGUUCGAGGAAGAACAUGUCAUUCUUGAAGAUCUUCAUCUCGAUUGCGUUGUCUUGAAGGUUGUAACAAUCGUAAUGUCUCGUCCGGCAGGUCAGCAAACGAAGGUUCUUGAGUUGAAUCCGCUGGUUGUUGGCUCUCCAUCUAAUUAGCGUCACAAAUGUAAAGAAGUUACAAACAAGGAUAGGAAAUUGAAUGUUAUCUUGCCUCAAUCUUGUCUCUUUUAUAAGAGAGAUUUUCAUCUUGGUUUUGAUGGAUGUCGUUGAUGAAAAACUUUAACUUUAGCUGAUGCAUUUGCUAGAUUCCUGGAUGGCUCCCAUGUGCGCUCACUAAUAUCAUAUCCGCGCUAAUGAACAAGAUAUUCCAGCUUAUUUUGGCGCCGCCUUGAGUCUAAUAUCUCUUCCACCUCAAAUUCUUCAUUAUUAUCUACUUCUAUAGGAGGCGAUGGCAUUUGUCUUCUUCCUUGUAUAUCCACUGUCUUAUAUGGUUCAAGAAGAGAUACGUGGAAUACAGGAUGGAUCUUCAUUGACUCCGGUAGAUGUAACCGAUAUGCAACUGGGUUGAUCUGUUCAGAAACAGAAAAGGGGCCAAGCCUACGAUAGUCCAACUUGUCACAAGGUCGAGUAGUCUUGAUAUUGCGACGAAGUAGCCAUACCUUAUCACCCACGUUGAUUUGUGGUUGCUCUUUACGAUAUAGAUCUGCGUUUAUCUUUUGUCGUUCUUGAGCUUCCUUCAAUUGUGUCUUCAUUAUUGCAUGUAACUCUGACAACCGAUUUGCCAUAUCUUCUGCUGCAGGAUUAUCAACUUUUGAAAAAUCAAAAGUAUCAAGUUGUGGAUGAUAGCCAUAAUUGGCAAAAAAAGGUGUUUGUUGCGUGGAAGAAUGUACCGUAUUAUUAUAAGCAAACUCUGCCAAUGGCAGAAGGGUUGUCCAAUCAUCUUGUUGGUAGUUGAUAGUAUACCUUAAAUAUUGCUCCAAGACUUGGUUUACGCGCUCUGUUUGUCCAUCAGUUUGAGGAUGGAAAGCCGAAGAUAGCUUUAUGUCCACUUUUAAAAUCUUGAAAAGGGUCUUCCAAAAUCUUGACACAAAUUGAGUUCCCCUAUCCGAUAUGAUAUCUUUAGAUAAUCCAUGAUAGCGAUAGAUAUUAUCAAUGAAAAGCUUAGCUGUUUCUUCACCUGUGAUAGAUUUUGUACAUGGCACAAAAUGUGCCAUCUUGGUGAAACGAUCUACUAUCACAAAUAUAGAAUCAUAAGAUCUUGAGCUUAGAAGAUCUGUGAUGAAAUCCAUAGAAACAGAAGACCAUGGUUGUUCUGGUAUAGGUAAUGGCUGAAGAAGUCCGUAAGGUCGAUGACGAGGAAUUUUUGAUCUUGAACAAAUAUCACAUGAUUGUACAAAGUCUUUGACUGACUUCCACAUUUGUGGCCACCAAAAAUCUCUUGAUAUGAGUUCCAAAGUCUUAUUAUAUCCAAAGUGCCCUGCUGCUGGAAAGUCAUGACGUGCUUGAAGAACACGUAAAGGUGCUUCUCCUUCUGGAACAUAUAGGCAUCCUUCAAAAUAUAAUAGAUUAUUCUUGAACUCAAACUUAGAAGGAUCAUGAGACUUGGAAGAAUAAUUCUCGAUAUCAUAAACAAUAGGGUCUGAGGACAUACUGGACUGGAUUUGCUUGAGAAAAGUUGAAUCAACAGUCAAUGUUGAUUUCAUUGCUCGGAGAUGAAAUUGCUCCGGUUUCAAGAGGAUCGUUCUUUGUUGCUCAAAAACUGCAUCUCCUUCUUUUGGUGCAAAAUAAGAACGUCUAGAUAGGGCAUCGGAUAAACCUUGUUGUUUUCCUGGCCGAUAAGUGAUAAUGAACUCGAAUCUUGACAAAGACAUACUCCAACGAGCUUGACGACGAUUCAACACGCGUGCUGACAUGAAAUACUCGAGGUUCUUGUGAUCUGUAUACACAGUGACUGGACUAGAAGCGCCUUCUAGAUAAUGACGCCAUUCUUGAAAGGAAUCCACGAUCGCAAGAAGUUCUUUAUCGUGGAUCUCAUAAUUGAUCUCGGCUGCUGAGAAUUUUCUUGAAUGAAAAGCUAUCGGAUGAAGUUUGUCAUCUGUUCCCAUUUGUGAUAAAACUGCACCCAAGGCAAAAUCUGAUGCAUCUGUUUCCAUAAAAAAUGCCUUGAAAAAGUCAACACGAUACAAGACUGGUGCAGAGACAAACGAUGUCUUCAAGGCUUCAAAUGCUGCUUCCGCUUGUUGAUUCCAUUGAAAUUUAUCUUUACUAGUCAAGCGUGUAAGUGGAGCUGCAACUCGUGAGAAAUCUUUGAUGAAGAUCCGAUAGUAAUUGGCAAAUCCCAAGAAACAUUGGACAUCUCUUACUGUCCUUGGAAUCUUCCAAUCCAUGAUUGUUUGGACUUUCUUAGAAUCCAUCAUGAGACCAUCAUUUGAAAUGAUGUAUCCUAAAAAGUCAACUUGAGUAGUGUGAAAUACACACUUUUCCAUCUUGGCGUACAAUCCUGCAUCUCUAAGUUUUUGUAAUACUUGACGAACAUGUAUUUCAUGUUCUUCGACGUUCUUAGAAUAGAUCAGGAUAUCGUCUAGAUAGCAGACGACAAAAUUGUCUAAGAAUUCACGAAAUACAUCAUUCAUGAGAUGUUGAAAAGCAGCUGGUGCAUUCGUGAGUCCAAAGGGCAUGACAUUAUAUUCGAAAUGUCCAUACCUGGUUCGAAACGUAGUCUUCCAUUCAUCUCCUUCUUUGAUCCGUACUAGAUUAUAUGCUCCUCUUAGAUCUAUUUUUGUAUAGAUCUUAGCUUGAUUCAAUUGGUCAAGGAGUCAUGAUAUCAAAGGUAAUGGAUACCUGUUCUUGAUUGUGAUCUUAUUGAGUCCUCGAUAAUCAACACACAUUCGUAAAGAUCCAUCUUUUUUCUUUACGAAUAGAAUUGGAGCUCCUGCUGGAGAUUUUGAAUGGCGUAUGAAAUUCUUCGCUAAAUUCUCGUUAAUAUAUGUCUUGAGUUCAGCCAUCUCAUCUUGCGAUAAACUGUAAAUUGGUCCAAAUGGUGGCUGAGUUCCUUCCUUGAGGUCGAUUGAACAAUCAUAUGGACGAUGCUCAGGAAGAAUAUCUGCAUUCUUUUUCUCAAAAACGUCUUGAUACUCCUGAUAUUGACUUGGAAUGCCACUUGAAGUCUUUACGUUUUCAGAAAUAGGUGCAGCAUAAAUAGCAAAAGUUGAUCCUUCUUUUGCUGCGUGUAUAAAUGCUUUUGCACCUAUCAGUACGAGUUUUACUGUACUAGACUUAUAAUUUUUUACUUGGUUCGUAGAACUAUUAAUAACGCUUUUGGAAAAGUCAAGUUUACGCGAAUUCCAAUCUAUUCGAGGGUUAUAUUUUUCUAGCCAGGAUAAACCUAAAAUAACUGGAUUGGACGGAGAUUUAAUUAUGUUAAAAGCUAUGUAGCUAUCAUGACCAUCUAUUGUUACUUUUAUAGGAUGAGUUUCAUGAGUGACAUCUCCAGAAGACAAGGGACGACCAUCUAUUACUUCUACAUGUACUGGUUUAGGUUUCUGUACAAAGGGUAUUUUACGACUUUUAACAAAUUGUUCAUCUAAAAAACAUGCUGAGGCUCCCGAAUCUAAUAAAGCAGAGGCUUUGUAAUUCUUAGGUCCUAAAUAUAAAUCUAUUAUAAAACAAAGAGAGGGUUCUGAGGAGAGGAUAGGACCUUCAUUAGGAAUUGUACAAGGUUCCAGCUGCACGGUCCCUAUUGUAGCUGGACGAAUCCGUUUUCUGACAUGUUGUCUUCUUUGACCGUCGUACCCCUCAUUUUAUAGUUGCGUCGUUUCUUUGGACAAUGUUGAGCAGUGUGCUUAGGUUCUCCGCAAUAUAAACAUAAUCCUUCUUGACGACGACGAAUCUUUUCUUGCUCAGUUAGAGGUUUAAAACGUACCGCGUCAAUUUGCAUGUCUUCUACUUCCGAAUGUACGUUUGGUAAAGAUGUUGAUGUUGCCAUUGAGUAAUAACGUUGAGGUUCCCGUGAAUGCUUCUCAGAUCGAAAUUCAAAAAGUCGAUUAUCACAUUUUACCGCAAAAUUGAUUGCUUGACUCAAAGUUUGAGGAUCAGGUAAGUUGAGCAUCAAUUUCUUUACUUCGUAUUGCAAUCCAUAAAGAAAUUGACUGAUGAGUGCAGCAUCAUCCCACUUGAUGUCAAUUGCAAGUUGUCGAAAUUGUGAAGCAUAUACUGUUACUGAGCGAUUUCCUUAUCGUAGAAUUCGGAUCUUAUUUGUUGCAACACGAGUUGCAUCGUGUUCACCAUACAUAGAUCGAAACUCCGCCAAAAAAGCUUCCAAAUUGUCCAAUAUUGGAUUUCGUUGUUCAAGAAAAGUCGAAAACCACGAUAAUGCAGAACCAGAAAGUAGAGUGCCAAUAAACCUGACUUGUGAUCCUGGAAUUGGAUAGCUUUGCGGUUGAAGUUCAAUUGCCAAUUGUACUUGAUUGAUGAACCCUCGAAACUUUGAUCUUGUACCAUCAAAUUUCUCAGGUAAGGCAAUUCUUGGUUCUCUAGUGCUUAUAGGGUGUUGUACAAUUGGAGAAGGAACGUGAUUUGUUGUAGAUGUUGAAGCAGCUCCGAUCAUCUCUAUAUCUCCACUUUCUGCUAUUCUUGUUCUUUCCUGUGUUGGUGAAUUGAGUUGAUGCAUCGCAAGCAUUAACUCCCUCAUUUGCUCUUGCAUUUGUGCCAUUGCACUCUUCAUUUCAACAAGCUCUGCCAUAAUGACACUAAGAAGAAAAAUUUGUUUGAUAUUGCUCAAGACAAAAGAAAAGAAAGACUUGAUAACAAAGAAGAUACUAAGAACAAUAUCAGUUUAGAAGUGGGUAAUCCGCAAACUUCUAAUACGCUUAUGUCUUGUCAAGAGAAAGGGGUAAUCCACUCUUACUCAAGAAAAAACAAAGCUCUGAUAUUGUAAGUGUACUCUUGUCAAUCUGUCAAGGACAAAGACUCGAUGAGGGAAAAUAUACACCAAAAGGCUAUCUCGAUAUAAUAAGUCAAAAUAUAAACAAGUAGGUAUAUUAAAAGGAAACUGGAAUGGCUAUUGCCACAAGACAAGAAACUAAAGACUCUUGAACCUGGACUAGAAGCAAGAAAGGAGUUGACAAGAGUGAAGAAGCCUUCACUCUUGUCUCUAUAUAUACUAUCUAACUAGGGGCUACGUGGCGACGUUCUAUAGAACCUCCAAUAUGUGUUGACUUUGUAGGACACAUGCCUUGACUUACAAGGCAAGUUUUUCUACGUGUGGGCCACAUAGUUAGUUUGAUCUUCAAGUUAACAACAUGUGUGGCACAUGGCCAACUUGUUGACCACGUUUCUAAUCCAAAAAGUCAAUUAAAGACACCUAUGAAGUCAAAGCAGCGUCUAGGAAGUUUCUAGGAAGCUUCUAUAUUAAAUAUUAUAGAAUUAACUUACUUUUAUCUACUUUUACUUACUUCUACCUAUUUCUAUAUGUAAUUAUUAGCUUACAUGAUUAUGGCCGUGACAAUAGGAUUGGACUAAAAAAUCCCUAGGAUAGGUUAAAUUGAUACUCAAGGGUUGACCAUUUGUGUGACAGGGUUGAAAUCAGACCUUCAACUACUAAAACAAUGACCUAGGACAAAAUAGGAUUUCAUUCAAAGAUCAGAGUUUAGGAUUCAAGAGCUAGCUUAGAACUUCUUCUUAAGACAUAGGAUUUAUUUUUGUAGAGUUUUUUGGACUUGGCGAUUGUUAUUCAAAGUGAAGGUUGAUAUUAGUAACUUGGAAUUUAUCCAAUACAAUUAGCGCUAGUACACUUGGCUAGUUUGUAAAAUUGGUGUCACAUCUAUAGUUCAAAAUUUGAUAAUGCUUAGUUGAUUAGGUGUGAUAAGUAAAUAUGAAAAUUUAUAAAAAUCUAAGAAUUAGAUUGAGAGAUAUAUAGAUUUUGAUACAAGAAAGUAUUGGAAGUUAGUAGUUUGGAGUUGGAUAGAGUUUCUAUAAUAUUUGAAGAUCUGUUACUCAAAUCAAAGUAAAAUUUAGCAAUAUAUUAGAAGACUUGAAGAUCAAGCUAUAUACCAAUUUUGAAUUGAAGUUAAUAGUUGGUUAAGGAAAAUCUUUACUAGAAAAUUUGCAUCAACUUUCAAGUUGAUAGCCAAGUAACAUCAAUGUGGUUUUUAGGCGUUUAUUCACAAUUUGUAAGUUGCAUUGAGAUGAAUUCUUAUUGAGCACAUAAAAGACUUAUAGUAGAAUUUAUGUAAAUUUUUUUUCUUGAAGUAGGUGAUUAGUUUAGGAUUUACAAUUUGCUAAAGCUUACUCAUUAAGAUUAAGGUUUGUAAAGAAAAUUCAAAAUUACCUAAUUAUGAAAGUAAAAAGGCAAUUGGAAUUUAUGUAUGGUUGAGAUUACUAAAGAGAUUAUUUUUGAGCACUUUGUAUUGGAUUUAAGUACUUUUGAAUUAAAAUUCAAAUUACAUUCUUUUUAUAAGGAUGAAAUUUAUUAGGAUUUUUAGAUACUUAUAAAAUAUAAUCUCACCUUCCAUAGUCAAAUAUCUAGUACAUUUUUAAAUAGAACAAUAUGUAAUACAACAAUGCACCAUGGCCAAGUAAAGUUGCUUCAAGAAUUAGUCUACAAAUACAAUAAUUGUAGUAUGAUUGUGAGGCGACUGAGGUAAAUACAUAAUAAAAUUCUUAGUCACUUACUCCUAAUGCAUCGUAGAUAGUGGAAUUGGCUGUAAUAGUCUAAGAGAUGCUAUAUUGCAUAUUUUGUUACAUUGGCAUGACUUACAAGAGUGCUCAAAAGUUCAAACAUUAUAAUUCAAAUUUGCCCAAAAUUAUGUCUUUGAGACCCAUUUUAGAGUCUUCUUAUGUUCUAGAUGUCUAGAUAUUAGAAUGUCAUGUUCUUCUUGAAGUAUGCAUGUCCAAAGUAUAGCAUUGUCAAGUAUAUAAAUUUUCUUCUUGAAAUAGAGUAAAUUUUUACCAAAACUGUAAUUUUGUUAUUGUACAUCGUCCACCUUCAGCUGAUCGUUAACCAUCUUAAAAUAAGCAUUUUAAUAGAUAGCUUCUUUCUAUUCUAUCUCUUUAAUUAGGUUUGAAAUGAUACUAUAAAUAGUAAAAACUUCUACCUUGUCCCUCAAUUUGGCCCUUAAGUCUGGUCUCUACAAUAAGUUAUCUAGCACAAUAUGUUGUUGCCUUUGUUUGUACUCAAGUUGAAUGUCAAAAAAUUACAACUAUUCUUUUCAAUGAUGGUAUCAUAAUUUCAUAUUUUUCAGAUGCAAAUUAUAUAGCAUGGAUUAAUGGUCAGUCCAAAUAGUCACCUGUUUUUUUAAUACAUAGUAUUGCUACAUCUUUGUAACAUAUACAAUUAUUAAUUACUCUCAAUCAUAUAUAGAGUAAUUAUGCUCUGUCUUUUUGAGCUUGGGUGAUUCAUAUACUAUAGAUUGAAGGACUCUAUCAAAAUCUCAUUGAAGGAUUGUUCCAAUAGCAAAGUCUAAAGUAUUAAUAUCAAGUGUAUAGGAAAGAUUGAAAUCAUAUAGUUGAAAUAUUAAAGCAGUAAUGAGUACUUCUUUCAACCUAUUAAAGGCUCUGUGCUACUCCAAUUUCUAUUCAAAUGAUGCACACUUUUCUAAUAAGCAUGUCAAUGAGGCAACAAUAAAUGUAAAUUGUCAAAUAAAAUAGCGAUAAUAUCCAAUAAGGCCUAAGAAUGAACGAACUUCAAAAAUAUCUUUAGAUGUUGGCCAAUCUUCUACUGCUUUUAUCUUAUCUUAUUCUAUAUGCAUGCCUUCAGGAGAUACCAUAUGCUCCAAAAAAGUGACCUUUGACUUCCAAAGUUCACACUUUCAUUGCUUACAAUAGAAGCAACUAUCUUGUAGUUGGCAUUGUACUUUUUCUAGAUGUUGCUUAUGUUUUUGAGGAGUUUUAUUAUAUACUAGGAUAUCAUCAAUAAAAAUAACUACAUACUUGUCCAAAAGGUAUCAAAACAAUUUAUUCAUAUGAUCCAUGAAGGAGAUUGGAAGAAUUAGUGAGGCCAAAAGGUAAAAUAAGCCAUUUGAAAUAUCCAUAGUACAUACAAAAUGUAAUCUUUUUUAUAUCCUUUCUUACAAUAGGUGUCUAUCAAUAGGUACUCCAAAGGUCUAAUUUACUAAAGAUGGUUGUAUCUCAAAAUUUGUCAAGAAAAUCAUCCAUGUAUUAUUGUGAUGUACUUAACUUAAGUGCAUCAAAGAUAUUUAGAAGGUAAUUAAUUUUACUUAUAGAAGGAGGAAGAAUAUAAUGCUAAUACAUUUAUAUCUUUGAAUAGAAUUUAGAAUAUAAAAUUAUUAUUAUUAAUGGACUAUUUGAGCUUGAAGGUAUUAUCUAUUAGGAUAGAUAUUGGACUCUAUAGUAGUUCAAGAUGAUUAUGAGAAGGCAAUUAGGAAUAAGGAUUUUUAGCAUCAAAGAUUUUAACUUUUUUUUGGAAGGAGGGAGAAGAAAGGAUUAGGAUCAAAAGAAGUCUAAAAGAGGGAUUGCUAGAAAUUUUGGAAAAAUAGACAAGAUUCAAGCCUAUUUUGGGAUUUUAAAGGCCACUUACAAAACUUUCUUCUUUUUAUUCUAAAAAUUUGAAAGAAAUUAGAUUGCAUUAUUAGUUUUUCAACAAACUAUAACAUCUAAGAAAUAAAGCUAUAAAGAGGAAGAUUCAAGCAAAUUUGUAAAAAGGGCAUUGCUAGAGUUUUUAGGCAUCAAGAGUUACAAUUGGUUUGAGAUUUCUAUGCAAUUUUUUGUAUUUUUUUCUUAUUUUGAGAUUUUAUAGAAAGCUAGAUUUUAUUGUUAGCUUUCCUAUAAGAUAUUUCAUAUAAGAAGAAGAGAUAUGAAAAAGGAGAUCUAAGAAAAUUAAUGAGAAUAGGAAUUUUUGGAUUUUUUAGGUAGCAAGAUUCAACACUAGUUCAAGGUUUUCUAAUACAUUAUCUGAAUUUUUAUAUUUUUAUACUAAAAUUUUGAAAGAAAUUGGAUCUUUUUGUUAAUUUUCCAACAAGAUAUUUCAUGCAAGAAGAAGAACUAUGAUGAGGGAUGUUCACAUAAAUUUGUGAGAAGGCAUUUGCUAGAGUUUUUGAGUAGCAAAAUUCAAGACUGGUUUGGUAUUUUCUAUGCCAUUUACUAGCUUUUCUUCUUUUUAUUCUGUAAAUUUAAAAGAAAGUAGAUCUCAUUGUUAGCUUUUAAAUAAGCCUUAGCACAUAAGAAGAAGAGUUGUGAUGAGGGAGAUUCAAGUUAAUUUUUAGACAAGGAUUUUAAGGGCAACGGCUAUAGCAACAUUUCAAAUUUUUUUCCUCUUUUGUUUGGCUCUCAUUUUUUUAAGAUUUUUUUUUAUGGACUUUGAUAAUUUGAAGUUUAUAACUUGAAUUAAGCUCAAUGAGCUAAAUUUUAUCUAGAUUAAAUUAGUAAUAAGUGAAUUAUAGAUAUUUUAGUAAGAUGAGGUAUGGAUUUAAGAUUUGAGUUAGAAAUUGGAUACAUCUUGGCACAAGAAAGAAAUUAGUCUAAAUUUUGUACUUAGCCUUUGGCUAUCUUUUUAUAUUUGACUUCAUUUUGGCAACAUUGUACUUCUUGUAAUACACUUACAAUUAAGGAACUUGUAUUCUUUUGAAGAGACUUGCCUCUUUAACAUAAAUUUGGUACUUCUAUUGAGAGCAUUCUUGGGGCAAUUAGAAGUAUAAGAAGAGCACAAUGAAGUUAUGGAGCUAGGAUAAAAGCUUGGAAUAUGAAAAAGAAUUCAAGAAUUGAAGGAAGAAGUGAGAAGAUUUUGAUAGUCAAAAAUGAUGGAUAAUUUUGGAGGGGCUAAUAUAAGUAGCAAUAGAAGAGUACGUGUCAAUGAUUUACUCUUAGCUUUGAGUAUGUUUAUGGAUAGAUAAUAAAAGAUUUAAGCAAGUGAGAAGGAGGUGACUAAGAUAUUACUUGGUUUGAUUAAUAACUAUAAGAUGUUUAAUAGGAAGAACAUUAAUAAGUUUCUCCAAGCAUAUGUAGGAAAAAUAAAAGUACAUCAAGUCCCUGAGAGUCACUAUAUUCCUAGUUUGGAUUGGCAUACUUUCUUGAAAUUAGAAAGAGAAUGAAGGAUUUACAUAGAAGUAAUUUAGAAGCUUAUAAUUUCUAUAAAAGGAGAUUGAGAGAUAAAUUUUAUGAUGAAGAUUUUGAUAAAAUCACCAAAAAAAUAAUUUUUAGAGUAGGUUGAGGAACAACUAGGGAGGUCUAUAGCCUCCAAUAAGUUGCUUAGGAAAUUUGAGAGAAAAUUCUCUCAACUGCCAUCUUCAUAGAGAUUUUUAUUGGAUGUAAGGAAGAUUGAGCUCUUCUUACAAGUAGAAAAUGAAAGAUUAGAAGAUAUAUUUUUUUUUCUCUUAUUUCAUAAGUCUAUUAAAGAAGAUUUAAUUAAUAAUUGGAAGAAAGUAGAGGAUGCAAUGUGUGAGCUAUAAAUCCUCCUUACCUUAAUUUAAGAAAAAAAAUAACUUCACAAUAAGUUUGAAAGAUAAUAGAGAUUAAUUAUGAGAUUACUUUAAUGGUUGAUUAUUUAAUCAAUCAAUUUAUAAUUAUCUAAAUAAUACCUUCUAAGUAAUGGUUACCAUUUCAUUUAGAACAAGUAAUAAAAAACAAAAAAAAAAGGAUUAGGAAGUACUAGAAAAUAGAAGCAGUUGGAUGAGAAAAAAAAAAUAGAUAGAACAAGCAAUUGGAUGAAAACAAGUACUACUGGACAAAAAUAUCAUUGUUGUAUGGAAACAGGUAUAAUUGGAUGGAAACAAUAUUUUUGAAUAAAAACAGUAUAGUUGGAUGAAAAUAAUACUAUUAAAUGGAAAUUAUACAAUCGGAUGGAAAUAGGUGCAAUUAAAUAAAAAAAAAAUACAGAGAUAAAGCAACAGCAAAAAAAAAAAAAAAAAAAAAAAAAAAAAAAAACUCUCAACUUCAACCCUCAUAAUUUUUUCAUUUCAAUUCCAAAUUUGAUGAUUCUUUUAUCUAACCUUACUAAUUCUCUCUCCUCUACAUAAUAAAUAUAUCUAACAAGAAAAUAAUUCCACUAACAAUGAGCUCCAAUAGGACCAGCAAGGAUAUGGAACAAACAACCUAUAACAUUAGUUCAUAACAAAUAAAAAUACUACAAUUCUUUGGUGUUUCAAUAGACAACCCUUACCAAGGAUUCAAACCAAAGAUGAGAGAGAGAACAAGGCUUUGACAAGGCCUUAUAUAUCCAAGUCUUCAAGCCAUUUAUUGGCAAUUAUCAUUGUUGAUAACUUAUAAGUAAAAACUAAUUUAAGAGCCUUCUUACUAGCUAAUCCAUAAAAGUAGUACAACUUGUCAUUAAAAAGUCAACCUACAUCUCCCAUGAUCUCCAACCAAUAUCUAUUUAUUGAAAGGACCAAUGGUUGGCAUCUAUUUGCCACAAGGUGAUGAAAAAUCACCAUGGAUUUCUUUCAAUACAUAGGUUUUUAAUCCCUAAUAAUUUAAUUAACCUAAACAUCUGUAAAAUAAUUUAUUAACUUAAAUAUAUUAACCUUUGGAAGAGAUUCUUAAGAAAAAAAACUUGAUUUGUUGUCAUAGAAGUAAUGAUUGAAGAGUAGAAUAGCUCUCCAUCUUCUUCCCUCACCAUCACUUGCGGCUUCAAGAGUAGAAUAAUUCUUUAUCUUCUUCCUUUACCAUCACGUGUGGCUUCAAGAGUGGAAUAAUUUUCUAUCAAUUUCUACCAUAUCCUGACUAUAACUAAUUUUAUUUUUUUCUAACCUCUAAUUUCUCACAAUUAACAAAUAAAUAACAUUAUAUGUUAUCAAAAUACUAAAAAUUAAAUAAUUAAAAUUUUAGUGCAUUAUUUUGGAUUUAUACAAUGCUAAUGGAUGAAGACAAAAAGAGAUACUUUGAGGCAUGAAGCUCUACCAGCUAUGAUACCAAUUAUUCUAUUAAAUUUGAUAACAUCUAUUCCAAUCUUAGAAACAUGUAAGACUCUUCUCAAAGAUAUUCUUGAAGAAUUGAUUAAACACAUGAGAGAAUUGAGAGUAGAGAUGAAUGAACUGAAGAAGAGCCAAAGAGCUACAUCUUUGUAUGUAUCUGGGGAUCAAAGGAAUUUUUAAGAGAUGCAUGUAUUAUGAUAGUCCUAAGCAUGAAAAGAAAGAUUUCUCUAAUUAUGAUGAAGACUUAAAAAAAAGAAGUUAUCUUCUUUAAUGAAGAUAGAGUGAGACUUUCUACUAUGGGACAAUCUUUGGAGCUCAAUUUUGGAAGAGGACAUAUGAAAAAGCUUAUAAAAGACUAUAUAAGAAGAACAAGUGGAUUGCAUGUGAAAGAAGCUAAGUCUUAUCUCAUUGAGAUAGAGACUGAGAAUACAAUAGAUAUCUUGAGGCUAUCAAUAAAAGCUAUAGUUAGAAGAAUAGAAGCUAUUAGAGGAGCAAUAAAUUGAGAUGAUUCAGUUGAUGCUAUUAGCAAUAAAGCCUUCUUUAACGACAAUAAGGAUUUAGAAGACCAAGAUGCUAUUAUAGAAGAAAAGACAACUAGGUCUUUUCAAGAAGAUGUGGUAGAACUCUUCAAUAAGAAGAAACUAUGAAGGAAUAGGGAAUCUAUUCAAAAAAGAGAAGGAUCUUCUCAUCUACAAAUACAAGCAAUAUCUUUAUUUCAAUCAAAGAGUGGAAUUGGAGCUCAAGAAAGUAGAGCAAAAGACAAAGAGAAGAAAGGCUCAAAUAAGCCUAAAGAUAAGGGCCUUCCUAUAAGCAUCAAUUGAAUAUUGAAAGCUCUAUUGAUAUAAAGGAAAUUUUAAAGGAGAGGAUUUUUAAUGUAAAAAUUGAGUUCACCUUGAGCGAGGUACUUGGCAUUACAAAGAAGGACUUCCAUAAAUUUAUCAUUGAUGUUAUUAAGAAGAAGAGACAAAUGAUAGUAGAGGCAAUUAUGAUAAAGGUAUUAAACUUCUUUUUUAUCAAAGAAGAGGACCAAGAAAUAGGAGAAGUCUUCUUCCAAUUGUAUGUACCUAAAUUUGAAGAAAUUCCACUUAAAAAGAAGAAAUAGGUGAAUACUUAAAGCUAUGAUAGAGGCAAAGAUUAAGGAAGAGAAAAAAGCAGCAAAAAGAUGGAAUAUGAAGUAGAUAUAAGUGAGAUAAAUGUAUCUAAUUAUACUUUUUAUAAGAGGUUUGAGGGUAAGACAAUGAGUGCUCAGUUUGCAUAUUCUUUUUGGAUUAGGGCUACCAUAAAGGCUUAAGUAAGAUUAAGCGAUCUCUAAGAGUACAACUUGGUACUUAUUGAUCAUGGAUCAGAGAUCAACAUUAUGUCAAGGAAGAUUUAUAAAAUGGAGAAGUGAUCCAUUGAUGUUAACUAUGAAUGGGUAUUGAAGGCCACCAAUAUUGAGCAAAGUAAUUUGUAUGGAGUAUGUGCAAAAAUUAGAAUAAGGAUUGGAGAUGAUGAAGUAGAACAAUAUUUCUUUGUGUAAAACUUUGCUACUUAUCCACUCAUUUUAUGGCAACCUUAUAUCAUAGCUACGAAGAUGGAGACUAAAUUCUUACAUGAUAGCUCUCAUUAUACAAGGAUUAAGAAAUAUACUAGAAAAAAGUUGAUAUAAUUUCUUACAGUAAAACUAGAUUAUGAAUAAAAUAAGGAUCAAUUGAAAGAAGCUCCUUUGAGGACUAAUUAAGAAUUUUUGGAUUUUUAAAGAACACCCAUAUAGCAUAGAAGUACAAGGAUGCAAGUAAAUCUUUUAUCUAUAUACUCUUCAAUGUAAAUAGUUUUGAGUGUGGAUUUUUGGAUUUGACAACUUCAAGGGUUUUAAGGUUUCAAAGAGUUAAAAACUUGGAUCAUAUGUAUAAAGAUUGAAUAAAUAAAUAUGAAAAAAAAAUUAAAAAGUUUGAUAAAAUUUCAAGUAGUAAGUAUAUUUUAGGUGUUAUUAAAGAAGAAGGAUUUGAAGAUGAUUAUGUGAAAGUUUUAGAGGGAUUGGCUUUUCGUAUGGAUGGAGAUUGAGCUAAUAUUAGUAUUGAUCUUCACUCAAAAUAAAUAUAUGAAGAGAUUUUUGAGUUUUCUAAGUAGCUUGAAGUAGUUGAUAGUCAUGUAAUAUUACAAGAAGCUAUGGUACAUACUAAGUACAAGUCCAUGGCGAAGAAAGUGAAGCUUGAGACAACUCAAUUGCCUUAAGAUACCAAAGCAUAUAUCAAACAAGCUACCAUGGAGCUGGGAUUGAGGGAGUCAAAUAAAAUUAGUCACAAAUUUAUCAAUGAGUCUUUGAAUAAGAUGAAGAUUGAAAGAUGUGAUUUUUUGACUGAAGUGGAGAGAGAUGCUCUCCAAACAGGAUAAGACUUUUGUCUUUGCAUCUAAAAAAAUAGUUGUAUAGAUCCUUGCAUAGUAGCAUCUAUGGUUAUUUUUAUUAUUCUAUAUGUGCCUUGAGACUUGAAACCUAUUCCAAUGCCAAAGGCUUUACUUUCUAAGUUGAUAGAUUUGUUAAAGAAAAAAAUUAAGAUAGGCAUCCUUGAACCAUCUAUUAUAACUUAUUCAAAUCGAUGGUUUACCAUGCCAAAGAAGUUUGAGGCACUUGAAUACAUUCAAGACACACAACCGGCCAAUAAGGUGACUAUUAAGAAUAUGGAAUCUGAACCAAUGAUAGAUGAAGUAGGAGAAGCUUUUGCAUGGCAUGCCAUUUAUUCUAGUAGGAAUUUAUAUUUGAAUUAUGAUCAAUUUUAAAUUAGCAAAGAAGAGUAGGGGCCUAAUCAGUAUAAAGACUCUUUUGGAUUUAGUGCAUUUUUGUACUUUGCUAUAAGGUGCAACUAAUUUAGUAGCUUAUAUACAAAAUACAAUGAAUCAAAUUUUAAGGAAAUUUGUACCAAAGAAGAUUAUACAUUUUUUCAGAUGAUGUUUCAAUCAAAAAUUGCAAAGAAGAUGCCAAAGAGAAGAGAUGAUAUGCCAUUGAGAGUAGUGGAUGAUUUGGAAACCAAACACAAGAUAUUAGGUAAAUUUCACGAUACAUUAUGGGCUAAAGAUAGAAGAGUUUGAGCUACCUAUAUCAAAAUCAAGGAGUGCUAUUGGUAGAGGGACUUAUACAAGAAUGUGGAGGAAUUUGUGAGUUCUUGUAAAGAAUGCCAAUUGCAAUCUAAGGUGAAGUAUAGAGAUGGUUUAUACCCUAUCUAUCUAUUUACUAUUUAUUUUCAAUAGGUGAUUGAUUUAAUUGCCAUGCCAAUGGAAUUUUGAGACAUGAAGUAUUUAAUUUUUGCAAAAGAUGAAUUUUCUAAUUAUAUAAAAAAGAGGGUAUUGAAAUUAAAGUCUAUGGAAGUAGUGUGUCAAUUUAUUUUGAAAUAUAUUAUAUGUUCCUAUGGGAGCAUUAAAAGAAUGAGAGCAAAUUGGAGUAAGCUUGAUAUAGCAGAGGCAUGUGAUUUUUUUACAAGAUAUGUACUAUAAUUAAAAUUAACUAUCUCUUAUAACCUCGAAGCUAAUGGUAAGAAUGAAAGAAGGCACCCUCUAAUCAUUCAAGCUUUGAUCAAGGCAUAUAGGAGUCAAUCAAGGUUAUAGCCUAGGCUUUUUACAUUUAUUUUAUGAGUAUAUAAAACUACUUAUAGCUUACUUAUUGAUUAUAUGCCAAUAGAAUUAAUGUUGGAGCAAAAGUCCUUAAUACUUGUAGAAGAGUCUAUUCUUUCUUCGUUGUUUUUGUCUUAGAAAGUUGGCAUUGACAUGAAGAGAUUAUUAGAGCUUUGAAUUUACCAAUUAGAAAGAUUGCCUAAGAAUCAUCAAAUUACUAUAGAGAGGCUUAAGGUGGCAAGGCUAAACAACAAAGAGAGAUUCAAUAAAAUUCACCAAUUAAGGCCUAAGCUAAUUAAAGAAGGUGAUUGGAUUUUAAUUUAUGAUAGUAAUUUGAUGCAUUCUAUUCUUUGUAAAUUUGUAUGGUGUUGAUUUAGACCCUAUGUGGUGGUUGAAGUAUAUGAAAAUGUAACUUAUUCUCUUUGAAAGUUAGAUGGGAUACCAUUGAAGACAAGGAUUGGAAGAAAGCAAAUUAAAGUCUUCUAACAGUGAUAUGAGAUGAAAUACAUAGAAGAUUUAGAUAUAUUUGACCUUCAAUAUUUUAAUCAAUGAAUGAAAAGUAAUAUGGCUUCUAAUAACUUUGAUUCUGAUGAUGGAGGUAUUGUGAUCUAAAUCUUUAAUAGAUAUAAGAAUAUGUGUAGAUUUGGAAGGAAUAAACAUUAUGAUAUAUUUAAUUUAAAUGCAUCAAAGAUGUUUAGAAGAUAAUUAGUUUUAUCUAUAGAUAGAAGGAGAAUAUAAUGCUAAUACAUUUAUAUAUUUGAAUAGAGUUUAGAAUAUGAAAUUGUUGACUUGAAUGGGUUAUUUGAGCUUGAAGGUAUUAUCUUUUUAGAUAGAUAUUUGGUUCUAUAGUGGUUUAAGAUGGAUAUUGAAAGAGGAUUAGGAAUAAAGAUUUUUGAUAUAAAGGAUUUCAAUUUUGAAAGGAGGAAAAAAAGGGUUGGAAUCAAAAGAAGUGAAAAAGAAGGGUCACUGGAAAUUUUGAAUGAAAGGAUUAGAUUCAAGCCUAGUUUGGAGUUUUGAAGGCCACUUACAAAAUUUCCAUCUUUUUAUUUUGAAAUUUUGAAGGAAGUUAGAUCGUGUUGUUAGCUUUCUAACAAGCUAUAGUACACAAGAAAUAAAGCUAUGAAGAAGGAGAUUCAAGAAAAUUUGUAAAAAAGGAGGUCUCUAAAACUUUUAGGUGGCAAGAUUCAAGAAUAAUAAGAGAUUUCUAUGCCAUUUUUUUUUUCUUAUUUUAAAAUUUUAAAAGAAGGUAGAUUCCAUUAUUAGUUUUCCAACAAACUAUAGCGUGUAAGAAAUAAAGCUAUGAAGACGGAGAUCUAAGCAGAUUUAUGAGAAGGAGGUUUCUGGAAUUUUUAGGCAAUAAGAUUCAAGACUGGUUAGGAAUUUCUAUGUAAUUUUUUAUAUUUUUUUGAGAUUUUGUAGAAAUAUAGAUCUCAAUUUUAGCUUUCUAAAAAGCUAUUUUAUACAAGAAGAGGAGCUAAGAAGAGGGAGAUCUAACCAAAUUUGUAAGAAGGAGGUUGCUAAAGUUUUUGGGUAGCGAGAUUCAAGACUAGUUUGAGAUUUUCUAUUGCAUUUCUUGAAUUUUUAUAUUUUUAUUCUGAAAUUUUGAAGAAUGUUUGAUCUUGUUAUUAGCUUUUCAACAAACUAUAGCACACAAAAAUAGAGUUGUGGAGAGGGAGAUCCAAGCAAAUUUGUGAGGAGGAGAUUGCUGGAAUUUUCAAGCGGCAAGAUUCAAGAAUGGUUAGGAAUUUCUAUUCCAUUUUUUUUAUUUUCUUCUUCUUAUUCUAAGAUUUUAAAAAAAUCUAGAUCUUAUUAUUAGCUUUCUAACAAGAUAUUUUAUGCAAGAAGAAGAGCUAUGAAAAGGAAGAUUUACAUAAAUUUGUAGGAAGUCAUUUACUAGAGUUUUCAACCAGCAAAAUUCAAGUCUAUUUUGAUAUUUUCUAUGCCAUUUAUUGGCUUUUAUUCUUUUUAUUUUUAGAAUUUAAAAGAAGCUAGAUCUCAUUGUUAGCUUUUUAACAAACCUUAGUACAUAAGAAGAAGAGUUGUGACGAGGAGAAUCCAAGCUAAUUUGUAGACAAGGAUUUUGAGGAUAGUGGCUAUGGCAAGUAGUCAAUUUUUUUUCUCUUUGAUUUGGCUAUUACUUUUUUAAGAAUUUUUUUAUGGACUUUGAUACUUUAAAGUUUAUAGCUUUAUUUAAGCUCAAUAAGCUAAACUUUAUCUAAAUUAUAUUAGUAAUAAGUGAAUUAUCGAUAUUUUAAUAAGAUGAGGUUUAGAUUAGAGAUUUGAGUUAGGGAUUGGAUGCAUCUUAGCACAAGAAAGAAAUUAGUCUAAGUUUUGUACUUAGCCUUUGGCUAUCUUUUUAUAUUUGACUUCAUUUGGAUAAUAUUAUCUUUUUUACAACCCACUUACAAUCAAAGACCUUGUGUUUUUUUUAGCAUGCUUACUUUCUUGAUAGUAUCAAAGUAGAUAUGCAUUCUUAAUAGUCUACUUAUUGGAGCCUCAAUAGUUAAUUUAAAGUCAAAAUCCACCAUCUUUAUUGAGUACAAAGAAUACAAGUACUCUCUAUAGUAAUGUACUUUUUCAAAUGAGGUCCUUUUCUAAGAAUUUGUCCAAUAUCUUUUGUAGUUCUUCAAAUUCAUUUGAUGCUAGGCAAUAAAUUAGUCGAAUUGCUAGUUUAUUCCUACCCAAUAGUUCUAUUUGAAAUGGAGCACCUGGAUCAAGAGGCAUGUUACUAAGUAGGUUGGUUAAAAAGACAUCUUCAUAUUCAUAUAUGAGUUGUUCUACCCAUUCUAUUCCUUUGAAUAUCUUUUCCACCAUUUAUGCAAGAUUUAAAACCACAAUAUAUACAAGUUGUUUAUACUAUAUUUUUUUUCUUAUGAAAGUCAUCUCUAUGUAUAAGUCUUUAGCUACAAAUUAUUUUUUCUCCUUAUUCAAUGUGGAGGUAUAAAGAUUCACCUUGCGUAUACCAUCUUUGAAACAUAUUGUCCUUGUUAAUCAAUUAACUUGUUUAUUUUCUACUUCUAAUUAUAGCAUAGCAAGGAUAACAUUAUAAUUUAGCUUUUUUACCUUGAACUUCUCUCUUAAGAUAUAGGUGUCACUCAUCCUUAAGGUUUCUUCUUCACAUAACUCACUUAAUAUAUUCUCUCAAUCAAUUACAAGGUAUAUACUCUUUUCUUUGAUUACCUUGAUUUUAAUUCCUAGUUGGUCAGUAAUUUCAAUCAAGAUGUAAUUUUUUGUAGAGCUAUAAUCCACAAGUACUUGAUAUGGCUAUCUUCUUAGUUGCUCUAUUAAAUAUACUAGUUGACCUUUUUUAUAGUUAUCCGAGGCUAUGCCAUUUGUCUUUAAGAAUUCUACAGCUAUCCCUACUAUUGGCCUUUGGUUCUUUUAUUGGAGAGUCUUGUUUUCUAACUCCAUCUCAUUAUUAACUUGAUGAGACUUGAUAUUAUGAAUCCACCUUGAUUUAUUGAUACUUGAAUUUUGAUGUUUUGGACAACCUUUGAUUUUAUGGCUUGGCUCUUGAUAAUAGAAAUACAAUCUCUUUUGCACUAAUAUUUGUUGUCUUUGUAAUGUCAAUGAUCCUUAUAGGGCAUCAAUUUCUAUUGGCAUUAGUUAUAUUAUCAUAGUAUUAGAUAGCGGCAUAAGACUUUGUGCUAUAGGUUGUGCUCUAUAAUUUUUGAAAUCUAUAGCAUCGACUCACUUAAUAAUUCUAAUUGCCUCUUCAAAUGUUUGUGGAUCCCUUAAUUCUAUCUUUCAUUGGACCCUAGGUUUCAAUCCUCGUAAAAAUCAAUCCAUUAUCUCCGUCUUUGAAACAUUGCCAAUUUAGAGAUAUAGAAACUUAAAUCAAGAGACAUAAUCUUCGAUCAACUUGGAUUAUAUAAGAUUUGCUAAUUGAUCACAUACUAUCUUCUCUGCAUUGAUGGAUCAAAACUGAUUUUUAAACUUACUCUCAAAUUCUUUUCAAUCACAAAAUCCACAUUAAGCUCUAUAGCUUUGAAUUUGAUAUUGUCACCAAAUAGUUGUCACAUCUUUCAAAUAGCUAGCUGCAUAUAUAAUUCCUUUGAUAGCAUAUAUUCUAGAUAGUUAAAGAUAUUAUCAUAUGUUAGAGAGCCAUUGGCAUACAUCUUCUUACUUUGAAGUUCUAAAGUAUGUACUAAGCUUAUUCAAUUUCAACCUACCAAAUGUCGACUUUCUUAUCCUAAAGGCUUAUAUUUUCCCUUGCAAAGUAGCAUUUUGGCCUAAGAAGUGUUGUAUCUAAGCUUCCAUUCAAGAUUGCUUUGCCAUAUCUCUCAUGCUAUAAUUUCUUCACUAGAUUCCAUUAUUAUAAUACCUUCUUUCUUUCCAACUAACUUCUUAAGAAUAGCUCAUGGUAGCCUCAAUAUAAUAUCUAGUAUGACUACAACAACUGACCUCAAAUUAGACAGUGGCUAUUUAUACGCUAUCAAAAAAUAGUCUAACACUUACUCUGAUAUCAAUAAAAUGAGAUCAAACUAUUUCAAAAAUCUAAGAUCCUUCUAAUCCAUAGCAACAUAAACUCUAUUACAAUGUAUGUCAAAGUAGACUACAAAAAGCGAAAAAAAAAAAAAAAAAAAAAAAAAAAAAAAAAACUAAAACUAAAACUAAAACUAAACUGAACAAGAAGAUGCAAACUCAAACUUUACUAAGAGAAAGGAUCUAAAGCUAUACUUGACUAGUAUCCAAAUGGAUACUAGUCAAGGCCAAUCUUAUUUAUACUUUGUCAAACCAUCUUGGAUCUUUCUAGAAUGUUUUCAAUAUUAGAUCCUACUUAAAUAACCACCCUAAGCUCUUUUUAGAAUAGUCUAUAGUAGGCCCUACUUAAAUAACCACCUAAGUUCUUUGUAAAAUAUUCCAUGGUGGAUCCUAUAUAGCCCACUAACCUAAUUCCAAUUCUAAAAAAUUUUAUAAACUUUUCAAACAUGGCUCUAACUACCUAUCUCUAUGCAUCAAUAAUACAAAUAUCUUAUUUAUAUCCCAUUAUAGUAAUAUAUUAAACUAGAAUAGCUAUUGCAAAAAAUAAAAAGACUAUAAAAUCUUAAAACAAGACUAAGGACCAAAAAGAUGUUGAUAAGAGUAAAAAAGAUUUUAUUCUUACUUCUAUAUAUACUUUCUAAUUACGAUCUACAUAACAAUAUUCUAUAUGACCUCCCACACAAGUUGACUUUGUUAUAUAGAUGUCUUAACUUACAAGACAAGUUAUUUAUAUAUGAGACACAUAGUUAGCUUAUUCCACAAGCUAUCAACACAUGUGAUACAUGGCUAAUUUUUUGUUUAAGUUUUUAGUCUAAUAAUUAAUUAUAAUUACGUUUAAAGUCAAAGUAACAUCUAUAAAGCUUCUAAAAAGCUUCUAUAAAAGAUGUUAUGAAAUUAAUAAACUUUUAUCUAUUUCUACUUAAUUAUAUAGGUAAUUAUUAGAAUAAAUAUGUAUAUUUGUAACACGUAUUCAACUUACAAGACACUUAUUAAACUUACAAGAUAAGAUUUUUAUAUGGUUAGCUUAUACCAUAAGCUAUCAAUACUUGCAAUAUGUGGCAAAUUUAUUGUCUAAGUUUUUAACCCUACUAAUCAACUACAAAUACAUAUAAAGUCAAAUCCAUAUCUAUAAAGCUUCUAAGAAGCUUUGUCAUAAGAUAUUAUCAAAUCUAUCUACAUUUAUCUUCUAUUUAACACUUCUUAUCUAAGUAAAUAUGUAUGUUUGUACCAUUUAUAUAUAUUUAUAUUAUUUUUAUAAGGCUAAUUGAGAAAUUUAGCAGUGAUUGUAAUAACAUUUAUUAUUUUUUAAUUAAAUUAAAAAUAUACAUAAAUAAUUUAUAUUUAAUUGAUUAAAAAUAAUAAUUUCUUAUAUUUCUAAAAAGAAAUUUUUCUAAAAUUAUAAAGACAUCAGUCAAAAUGUUUUUAAGUAAAGAACAAAAUAAAGCAUUAGAAUUUGAUUGAGAAAUAUUUUAAGAUUAAAUUUUAGCAUUAUAUUUUUAUCUAUUAAAAAUAAAUUUUUUAUUUAAAAAUUAUUUCUUUGAAAAAAUUAAAAUUAAAAAAUCAAAAUUUUAACUUAUUCAACUUAAUAUCUAAGAAUAAUAUAUUAAUAAAAUAAAUUAAUAAUAUAAAUUCUUUAAAAUGAAAUUAAAUUAAAUUAAAUUUUUUAAAAAAUAAAAUAAAAUAUUUUAUUAAAUAAUAAAUUAUUCAACUAUAUAUUUGAUUCAAUUUUUAAAAAGAUUCAUAUGUGUCUAAUAAAAAGUAAUUAAUGAUGUUGAAAUGAUUCUAAUUUGUAUAUUUUAAAAAUUAUAAAUACUAUAAUUUCUUUUUUAAAAUUAUUUGAGUACUUAUUUUCAAAUAAAAAUUAUUUAGUUUAUAAACAUAUUAUAAAUUACAAUAGAUAUGUUUAAAAAAUUAUCUAAUUGACAUAUAAUAUAGUAUUGGAAGCAUUAGACUCACAUAGAUUGUAGCACUGUGGAUGUAUGUGAUAGUGUGAUAACAACACAUUAAAAUCCCUCUAAAACCUUCUUAUAUUAUAUUCUAUGCCUUGAUAAAGCUUAAAAUCCUUAAUAUAGUGUUAAAUAAAUUAUAUAUUUAUGUUUAUAUAUUUUAGAAUAUAAAAAAUUUAUAAAUUAUUUUAUAUAAAUUAAUAUUUAGUUUUUUAAAAAAUAAUAAUUAAUAAAAUUUUAUUUUUUAAUUUUAUUCAAAAUAAUAUGUUAUUUUUAAAAUUUUAGAAAAUAAUUUUAAAUUAUAUUUUAUGAUUUUAUGUCUUGUAAUUUAUAAUAAUAUUAAAAAAACUCCAAAUUUAUGCCUCCUUAUUAAUUCAAGUUAAAGAUCAUAUCUUAUUUUUACAUAGUCUUAGAUCGAAUUUUUUAUUUUAGAAAAUUUGGAAAAAAAUUGUUUAAAUAAUGAUAGAAAUAAUAAUAUGAUCUUUUCUUGGAGUUGAUUUCAAAUUUAGAGAUGAAUCUGAAAUUUUACUUGAUUAUUUCAACAAAAAUAUCAAAACAAAUAUCUUUUUUGUCCAUCAAAUUUUUUUAACAGUAUAUAUUAAAAUCACUCACAUAUACUCGCACUCGCGAUCUUGAAAUAAAAUUUUAUGUUAGUUAUAUAUAUAUAUAUAGAUAUAUAUAUAUAUAUAUAUAUAUAUAUAUAUAUAUAUAUAUAUAUAUAUAUAUAUCUUAAAGAAUAUUUUAUAAUAUUUUAUAUUUUUUAAAAAAUGAUAUUAAUUGUUUCUAAAAUUCUUCUUAGAAUAUUGACUUAUAUAUUCUAAGACAUAAAAAGAUAUCAAAUAGAUGUUAAAGAAUUAUUUUAGUCUAAUAUUAUACCUUCAAAUCUUUAAAAAUAAUGAUAUUUUAAUAAUUUUACGAUUUUUAAAGUAAAGAAUCAUAUUAAAAAUUAAAAACUAUUUUUGUGAAAUUUUACAAAAUAUUAAUUUUAUGUUAUAUAAUGUGAGUAAGUAUUAAGAAUGCAACAUCAUACAAAGAAAAUACUAUAUUUUUAAAAAGAAGAAAAAUACUAAAAUAUUAAGAACAUAAUUUUUAAUAGGUUAUUUAUAUAAAGAUUUAUAAGCAUUGAUACAAAAUCAUUAUACACUUACUACAUGUAUAUGUCUAUAUAUAUACAUAUAUAAGAAUGUAUUAUUACAAUGUUAUAGAACAUCACUUCCAAAUUUGUGAAGUUAGCACAUCAUGUUAAGAAAAGAGAUACCCAAGUAAUAAUAUUUGUAGGCUAAUCAAGGAAAAUUCAAUAUCAACAGAACAAUUAGCAUUUGCAAAACAAUUCACAACAAGUUCAAUAAUAUCUCACCAUAUCCAUGUAAACUUCACAUUUUCUACACAAUCCUUAUGCUGUAAGCACUCUUUGUUUCAAAAUCAAAUUGAAAGUAUAUUUUCAAGUGUAUACAACCAAGUAUCUUUAAAAUUCCAAGACUAUGCAUAACCAAGCAUAUCAAUUGUCACCCUCAUUAUUGCAAUAAAAGAUACAUCUUUUCUAUGUGCAUUGUGUCAUCUUCAUACAUUAAAAGAUUGAUGAUUCAUUAAUACAUCCAAAUAUAUAUAUAUAUAUAUAUAUAUAUAUAUAUAUAUAAUAGUCAAAGUUUAUUCUUCUUUCUAAGAAAUUGAGAAUAAUAAAAGACAUAAUAAUAAUUCUAACAUAAUUGGUGAAUACUAAGAAAAAUUAUAAUAGAUAAUCAUUUCUGUAUUUUUAAUUGCAAUAAUACAUCAACAGUGCAUAUAUCACUAUUAAAGAUAGAAUAUACAAUACUUAUAUUUUAUGGGGAUUUAAUUAUUUUAUUAAAUAUAUGAUUAAAUAGGUUUAUAUGAUUGUUUCUUUAAAAAAUAAAUCAUAGGUAUAUAUAUAUAUAUAUAUAUAUAUAUAUAUAUAUAAUUUUAUACAAUAAGAGCAAAUUAUGUAUAAAGGUUUGUUAGACAUUGUUGAGAUUUUACAACUAAGAUUUGAUUUGCCAACUUCAAAUUUACUAGUAUUUGCAAUCUUUAUGGAUACAAUUCUACUAAUUUUUGUUAAUUUCCACAUGAAAUUUACCAAGAGAAAGAAAGAAAGAAAAAAAAAAAAAAAAACCUAAAAACCUAAAAACCUAAAAACUUAAAAACCUAAAAACCUAAAAAUUAUGUAGUCAAUACUCCUAGUGAUUAGAAAAUUUGAGUAGACCAAAUAUGAUCUUUUUUCAUAAUCAAAAGUCUUUCAAAAUAACAAAAUUUCUUAGGGAUUCUUUUUAUAAUUUUUUAGAUAUUCAAGUUACACAAAGAGCAAUGACUCUUAAUAUAUGGUGUAUUAUUUACCUCCCUUUUAUGUAGUUUAUUCUAUUAUUCUUCUUCUACUUUACUUUAUCAAUCUUGGUAUAAAAUUUUCUUCUACUUUAUUUUAUCAAUCUUGGUAUAAAAUUGAGAAAUUAAAUUAUUAGUUUUUUCUUAAGUAGCAAAAAUUCAUAUGCACUAUAAGAAUUGAACAAACAAACAAUAUUAUUAGGUUCAGUUGAAUUUGGAUUAACCAUAAAUGAAUUAAAAAUAUUUUAUUUAAUAAAAAUAACAUCAAGUAACCAAGGACAAAAAAGUCAUAGUUAUUUAAAUAUAUAUAUAGAUAUAUAUAUAUAUAUAUAUAUAUAUAUAGAGAGAGAGAGAGAGAGAGAGAGAGAGAGAGAGAGGGGAAAAAAAAAUCCUAAGUGAAUAUUAGAUAAUUCCAAAUAGACUUUUAGUCUUGCAGUUUGGAUGUUGAUCUUACUAAUAUGUUAAUGUAGUGAAUAUUACAUAAUUCCAAAUAUUCUUUGAGUCUAGUAGUCCGGGUGCUGAUCUUAUCAUUGUGCUAUUGCUUCAGAUAACUUAUUUUGUAUUUCAAUUCUUAAAUAGUAAAAAUAAUCAGUGUUCAACAGUUGAUUUAUUUGUCAUAUUCUAAGUGAUAAGAAUUGCUUUCAAGGUUGAAAAUUUAAGGCGUUUGCAAUACUCUGAUGUACUAACUAAGAGAAAUGAUAAAAGGUAAUAGAAGCCUUUGAAUUUUUAGGUGCAGAAUUAAUCCGUUUAAUCGCUAGGUAUUAACCGAGCCAUGGAGCUACUUAAUACAAUCUUAAUUACUUGUGUCUAUCUAUAGUAUGAGGAACCAAUGUGUUGCAAUGAAUAGUCAUGUUCAAUAAAAGUGUUCCUAUAAUCCAUUGCUUGAAAGACCAUGUAUUGCAAGAAAACUAGCAUGCUGAAGACGGCGACAGACAGAUAGUUAUAGUAGCGUACGCUUAAAACAGAACAUGGAUACGAAAAUCACACGAUAAGCUCACUUCCGUUUAUUGAACAAAAACUGAAGGUUGAACGUCGGAACUAUCUCAUAAAACAGUGUAAAAAAUGUAAAAAAAUCAGUGUUAUUGUUGAUGUGCAAAAUCAGAGGUCCUCCUAUCAUUGAAGUUCCUUAGAUUCAUCUGAAGAAGUUCACUAACGCCGUUCACAAAACUAAACAGGCUGUGGUGGCAAAUAUUACACACGAGAAAGACGAACUGGGGAGCUAAUGUGCAGAAGAUAGAUCAGUUUUAAUGACUGAUAUUGCAUCCUUUUAAUCAAACCUUAACAUGAUCUUAAACUGAUCCAGACGUCUCCACCCACACCGUCCAUGAGCAAUCCUGUUUAAGGAGCGUCCUGCCCUGUUCUCCUUACAGCCAUUCGCCCCCCUAACCAGUGCGGUUGUAAGGGAGACGUCCUACCCCUGUUUAAGUAAGUAGCUUCCAAGCGACCAGUAAAGCAGUAAUAAUGGUAUUCUCAGUUUUAACCUAACCAAUUCAAAUACCACCUGGUACCUGCAGGAACACAAUGCACAUCAAUUUUCCCUGAAUGUUUAGCCGACGAAGACAAUCUAGGGUUGAAGAAAGUCUUUCAAUAGUGAUUCCAGAUACAGUAGAGAAUGCAUGACGCAGGAGCUUGAAAUCGAGACGUUUCCGUGUGUUGAUAUAACUGAUAGUAUUGCAGCAAUCAUGUGAAAUUGAAACUAGCAAAGCUCCACCUCGAGGAUAUGCGAGAAUCAUAAAACCCUAAAAUGAAGAUUUGGAAGAAUUCUUAAAACCCAAAUGUCAGGACAUCAGAAAAAAAAUACAAGGCAUUUCCUCCACUAUGUCGCGAACCCAAGCUCCUUCUAAAUCAACCCUCGAUAUCAAAUUUCAACAAGUAGAAAAACCACAUAUAGUGAGAUACAAGGUUUCGGCAACUGCUGAAUUGAGAUGGGCAUUCACAAUAACACUAAAGCCCCCAUGUGACUCGUCCUAAUCGGUUUAAGACCACGAAUCAACCUAAAAGCGCCCCAACUGAUCACCUCACAAGGGAAUUCCCUGGCAACACAAAUCCCGAGAAAGGCCGUUGCAACCUUACCGAGCAACCCCUACAGCGAUUUUUUAUUUUAUUUUAAAUAAACUCGAAUUAGAACCCAAAUGGCCCACACAAUGUGAUCUCCUUAAGGAACAUACCGUUGAGAAGUGGAGAAUCUAAUGGGUGCUAGGGAUAGCCUGCCCCAUCCCUUGCCGCAUCUCUUGCAUCUUCUUCAUGCGUUGUAGGAAGAGAUCGUACUCGCACUUUUCGUAACCGUGCCUCUCGUCCUCGCACUUCCAGGGCAAAUAGAAAGUGUCCUGGCGGCAUUUGUUCAAAGGGAUGAGGAGCUUUGAGCACAUGUCCCGGGAGCCAAGCGGCAAGCGGGCUUCCACCAUCUCCUCCUGCGUCGCCAAGUACUUCCCCGUGGAGGCCAUUUCCGCAGUUUCUCUUACUCCCCACCUCACCUUCCACUCAAACUCUACUACGUCUCUCAAUGCUGCGCUACAAAUUGUGCUCUAGCAAUGACCGUGGUGUCCUUCGACUUCGUCUCUCUUGCAAACAUUGGCACCACAGAACCGUUCUCGGCAAUCCAACUGAUACCCCCCACAUACCCGGCCUUGUCUCGGCUUCCAUCUAUGUUAGGGUUCUGGCUUUUAACUUUGAAGAAUUGCAGUGCGAUGAUAGUGUCGAGAUCACUCGAUGGAGAAUGCGUGGCAUGUUAGUUGCAUCAAUUUUAAACAAACACGUUCUUAAUAAUACUGAUAAUAGAUAUCUCAGAAGUGAUAAACUUUUUAAGAGGAUUAUGAACAUUUUCAACACAUGCAUACUUAACCAGUGAUAGUAAAAUCACAACACUAAAGCACAGAAAUAUGUUUGAGUAAUCAGAUCAUACUUGAAAUUUGCAUUUGGAACGUCAAUUUCCAACGUGAUAUACUACAUGGUUCAUACUUGAAGUUAAUGAACACAAUGUAUUCAUAUAUGUGGUUUUAAAUUGAUGGUAAGGAUAAACCACGAGUCGCAUGUAGUGCAUGUACCUAUUAGAUGUUGAUCAAAUUGUGCAGUGUAAAUGCCACUAAUGAAAAGCAUAUAGUACUAAGGCAAACCAUUGCACUGAUAUUGUUAUGCAUUUUAUUAGGCAUAAAUGAACACAUGACAAUGUUAUGAAUAUUCCAAAAGUCCACAUCUUGUAGGUUUCAUGAGUUAAUCACAUCAAUCACAACCGCAACAGAUGAUUCAUUUUCACACAAAAUCAAACUACCACCUUGGACUUGCCUAACAAAGGUGGUGUGUAACAAAUGUACUUCCAAUAUCCCACAAAGCCAUAGUUCAAACAUGCUAGAAUGUAACAAGUGCAUACACAUACUGAUCAAUAACACAAGUGUAUACACAUACAUGAUUUCAAUUGCACCAAUAAAAUUUACAUUAGUUACAUAUCAAAAAUCUUUCACUUGGAAACAAACGGUGGUUGAAGCCUUCUGCUGCAUUAUCUAAGUCGGCCUGUAGCAUUGUAAGAGAACUCUGCUGCAACGGCAUUCACUGUAUCAGCUCUUGUGCGAGAAUUGCAAAAGAAAUGAGAGAUGAGCACAAAUUCACUCACCUGAUCAUUGAGUUUCCUGCAGCCAUAGCUACUGCUUCAGCAGAAUUCAUUGAAGAGGAAACACAUUCCAAAAAAUAAAGUUCACAUACCGAGUUUGACAGUAGUCAGGAGCGAAAACAAACUAUUGACACUAUCACCUCUUGAUUUCCAAUGUGCUCCAGCUUAAACCAGGGAAGCAAACGCCCACGGUCAAAUAUCAAUUUGCAUCGAAAAAAUCGAAAUUAGGCUGUAAAAGCAGCAUCAAAGAUAAAUGAGCUCCAAAACUUCCAAUGAUGUCUGCAUAUCCCUGUGCGUUUCCUCGUCAACGGAACGGAGAGCUCCGCAAACGUGCCAGGCACCUCGACGGUAGACAACAGAGGCAGCCAAUACGAUAUCUCAGUCUCUAUAUACGUUCAUUGGAACGAUUGAAUUUGAAUACAAGGAAGAGUAGGUGUGAGAACUCCAUUGGUGCAUCAACAUAGGAAAUCCUUACCUCGGAGGUAGUGCCAGGUAAAAGGGCCAAUUCGUAUGCUAGGGUUACUCAAUGCCGCCAAUAAACGAGACGAGAAAGAAUCAGCGAUACUGUUGUCGUGCGCUUCGAUGGACGAAGGAUUCAUACCAGCGAAACCGAGCAAGAGAAAUUCAUGUUAUGAAAUCAAAAGCACCACCAGCACCACCAGCAGCGCCACCCACACAGUGCUGAGGUUCAUCGUCAGGAAUCAAACUCCGAGGACACAUUCUGCUACAUCCGACCUCGGGGGCCAUCUCCAACUCAAAAAUUGUCUGAUCCCAGUACCCCUUCUCCAUGCUAGCAAGCAUUCAAACCUUGUUCGAACUAAUCCGAAAUUGCAUCCAUCAAGAAUUCCCGCAGCGAUUCAGAAACGCGGCAUCCAGAGCAAGACCGACAUGUGGAGCAACCGCAGGCCCAUGCACACGUCCGAGGGAGACGCAGACUGCAUCAUGGACAGGAAAUCGGCGGAGGUGAGCAGCAGAAGCGGGGUGAGGAGGAAUCGCAGCAGCAACAUGGUGAAUGCUGGGCAGCAUGGUAUGGCCUGGCAUGGCCUGGUGAGGAGUAUGAGGUCUGCCACUGCAGCUUGGCAGGCUGCGAGAAAAAACCAAACCCUAGAAUCACACUGGCUCCAUCCAUCGUGCUCUCGCCAAAAACUCCCCUCGUGUCUUUCUGUU
rnacentral:lncRNA from 1 species